AAUAGACCUCAGAUCCGGCAGGAUUACCCGGUGAAAUUAAGCAUAUCAAUAAGCGGAGGA
rnacentral:rRNA from 1 species